rnacentral:rRNA from 1 species
GACGAACGCUGGCGGCGUGCUUAACACAUGCAAGUCGAACGGAAAGGCCCUGCUUUUGUGGGGUGCUCGAGUGGCGAACGGGUGAGUAACACGUGAGUAACCUGCCCUUGACUUUGGGAUAACUUCAGGAAACUGGGGCUAAUACCGGAUAGGAGCUCCUGCUGCAUGGUGGGGGUUGGAAAGUUUCGGCGGUUGGGGAUGGACUCGCGGCUUAUCCGCUUGUUGGUGGGGUAGUGGCUUACCAAGGCUUUGACGGGUAGCCGGCCUGAGAGGGUGACCGGCCACAUUGGGACUGAGAUACGGCACAGACUCCUACGGGAGGCAGCAGUGGGGAAUAUUGCACAAUGGGCGGAAGCCUGAUGAAGCAACGCCGCGUGCGGGAGGACGGCCUUCGGGUUGUAAACCGCUUUCGCCUGUGACGAAGCGUGAGUGACGGUAAUGGGUAAAGAAGCACCGGCUAACUACGUG